UUUAAUGUAAGUAAGAUUACUGAUGAUAACUUCCAAAACGUGGCUUACAUGUAAGAAACGGUAAUGUUCGUUAAUCAUCCCAGAGCAACUGGCUAACUACAGUUUUCAUUUAUGAUUAGACUAUAAAUGCAAUGUCUAUGUAAGUUCUGCAUGAGACAGAAAGUUGAGAAAACCCGAGUUUCAUGAUGUGUACUUUUUAUUUGUGUGGCGGAUACGAUAUCCAGUCAGGAAGCAAACUUCCUAUGUACUUGCAGAGAUAUGGU